rnacentral:rRNA from 1 species
GUAGGGAAUAUUGGACAAUGGGGGCAACCCUGAUCCAGCGACGCCGCGUGAGUGACGAAGGCCUUCGGGUCGUAAAGCUCUGUUGCAAGGGAAAAACAAAAUGAUGGUACCUUGCUAGAAAGGAUCGGCUAACUUCGUGCCAGCAGCCGCGGUAAGACGAGGGAUCCUAGCGUUGUUCGGAAUUAUUGGGCGUAAAGCGGGUGUAGGUGGCUUUGUAAGUCAGGUGUGAAAGCCUGGGGCUUAACCCCAGAAGUGCAUUUGAUACUGCGAAGCGUGAGUGCUGGAGAGUCUACUAGAAUUCUUGGUGUAGUGGUGAAAUACGUAGAUAUCAAGAGGAAUACCGGAGGCGAAGGCGGGUAGCUGGCCAGACACUGACACUCAGACCCGAAAGCGUGGGGAUCAAACAGGAUUAGAUACCCCUGUAGUCC